UGCCCUUUUCCUCUCUCUCGUCGGUUGGUGCAAGGAAAUGAAGACUGGUGGUAAAGCAAAGAAAGGAGCUGUCUCUGUUUCUUCUCCACAGAUUUGAGCAAAGACCACAACUUUCUACCUGCCUCGCCGAUGCCCUUGUGUUCUGAACAGAUCUCUCGGUGCCGGUUUGUAUUCUCUCCGAUUGUCUAUUCCGAUCAGCUUCGCCGGCGGUGUAUUUCCACCUGUCUCUCCGUUUCCUCUCACACAUUAUCUUUCUCUCUCUAAAAUUUGGAGGUAAGGCCCAUUAACAAAACCCACCCACCACUACCACAUUUUCUCUCUCUAAAAUUCUCAAUCUCUCUCCAUGCCCUCAUGGUUCACUUGUUCAAGCAUUCAUUUGCUCUCUCUGCUUUUCAUCUGGUAGACCCGAUUAGAUUUAUAUCUUGUGAGAGGAAAAUAAUUGGAAUGAGCAGUAUCGGUAAAGUCAUUAGGACGUCCCCGCCGCCCUCGCUGUCGCCGCAGCCGCAGACGCACCUGUUCGGUUCAUUCUGAACCGCUGGAUGAAAUUGUUGAAUUUGGAUUUAGAUUUAUGGAUUUUACCGUUGACUGAAUUAGCGAACCAUGUGUUGUUUCUCACCGGAGUUGGAUGAGGAAGAUCCUCCUCCCACCCCACCCCACCCCACCCCACAACAACGCCGACGAGGCGUGGGGAGUAGUGCAGGGUGGCACAGUAAGGAGGAACGCACGUUUCGUGGACACCUUCUGUAUGAACAAUAAUGCAUUAACCGUUAAAUUUUGUGUGAUUAAAUUUUAAUUUGUGUUUGGUUUUAAUUUUCUUUGGUUGGACUUCAGGAGGCAGACGGGGCGUAUGGAAGACGAGAAAAAUGGAUGGUAGUGACCAGAAGGGAGGACUGAGAAGAGAUUUGGGGUAUGGGGAAGUGUGGGAAUAUGCUUUAGUUAUAUUACUUAUUUAUUGCUGUGUGGGGGUGUGUUACUUAUAUAACUUUUUAAUUUCUUCUGAUCUAUCAAUGGCAAAAAGGUUCAGUUCUUGCUUGAUACACUAAAAUCACUAAUAAACAUUAGAACACUGAAGGCAUGAAUCUAUCAUUUUUCUCUUUGUUUUUUUAUUUUAUUUUUCUUCUUUUUAAUCAGUUAUAAUUAAAUUUUUAUGUCUUCAAUUGUUUGAGUUAAAAAAAUAUAUAUAUAAAUUUGUUUGAAUAAUAAAGUCGCGCGUGCCACGGUGCCAUUGCGUGGGGGAGAAUAUGCAGCUAAUACAUAACGUGAUAAUGGUACUGUGCGGCAGA